UUAGAAUUUGGAUAUCAUUUUAUUUAGGGUAAAUAUCACUUUAUGUCUCAUCGUUUGACUGAAUUAUCGAUUAUGUUCCAACUUUUUGAUAAUAUCUAAUUGGUAUCCAACCUACCAAUAUUUUUUUAAUUGUGUCCCGUAAAUUUUUUUUGGCGCCCGAGAGUUGACGUCGAACGCUGGAAACUAUUACGUGGAAUUAUUAAUUCACAUGGAAUUGUCAGCAUUAUUAAACUUAAAAAAAAAUGUACCUAUGUGGCACUAAAACAUACUAAUACUGAGGGUUUGAAGAAAAGAAUACCCAAAUCAUAGAAGAAGAACAACAGGGUACUCUUUGGUGGAAAUUCGAACCAAAAAUUGAAGAAGUUAGUGGAAAUUCGAACAAAAAUCCCAGGACAUACUCGUCGAUCUAGUCAAUCCGAAAUUGAAGAACUCUCUUCCAGAUAUUGCAGCUGGAGCAUUCGCGAAGUGUAGUCUCUUCGUCUCUACUCGUCAAUAAUUCUACGGGCAAGGGCACCUACGCUGCCCGCCUCUCGAAGAAAUGGCGUCCCCUUGUGUUCUUUUCAGAAUGUGGCAUGGUGGUUGUUUUGUGGCCGAUGACAAGGAGUAUGUAGGGAGGCAAGAUUAUAUUGAUGUUCCCGAAUUCUCCAUUCUUGGCAACGAGAUGAACGGCAUCCUUCUUCUUCAGUUUGCGCAUGAACAAUUGUCAAGUGAUUUUCAAUUUAUGAAACUAGGGUUUUAAGAUUUCAAGUUGUGGAAGAGAAAGACGAUGAACUAUAAAAAUUGAUUUAAAAACACUCU